ACAUGCCCAAAACAUAAUGUUAAUGCAUUGGAUCCCAUUAGAACUCCCCAAUUAAGCGCGCUCAGGCUAGAGUAGUACUGGGAUGGGUGAUUGCCCGAGAAGUCCUAGUGUUUUACAUGCC
rnacentral:rRNA from 1 species